CCUGCCCGCCUCAGUCGCUCCCUCCGGCCGGACCCGGUUCCGCCGCACCCCCGCGACGCCCCCCGCUCUCAUCGGGCAGCUCUCCGGGCCACGGCCGCCGCCGUCAUCACACCCCCCACCCCGCCCCCUUCUGAGACGCUCCGGUUGGGGGUGACCCGCACCGCAGCGCCCGGGCCUGCCCGUCGCUCCGCCCAAAGGCCCGUCCGGUGACAGUCGCGACCGCCGGAGGUGGCGGCGGAGGAGGAGGCCGGAGCCGGGAUGUCCGGGCAACAGCAACAACAGCCGCCGCCGCAGCUCCCCUUGGCGUCUGCCGCUCCCCCGCCGGGGAUCCCCUCUGCCGCCGCCGCCAACCCCGGCCCCGCACCGGCCGCCACGCUCCUGCUCCACCCGCCGCCGGCCACCGCUGCGCCGCCGCCACCCCCCGCCGCCAGCAGCGGGCCCGCAGCGACGGGGAGCGGCGGUACCGGCGCGGCGAUGGGCCUGCCGGCGGGGAGCAGCAGCGGCACCAGCGCCCCGGCGCCGUUCCCGCACGGCGACCCGGCCCUGAACGAGCAGGAGAAGGAGCUAAAGCGGCGGCUGAAGAGGCUCUACCCGGCCGUGGACGAACAGGAGACGCCGCUGCCCCGCUCCUGGAGCCCGAAGGACAAAUUCAGUUACAUCGGCCUUUCCCAGAACAACCUGCGGGUACACUACAAAGGUCAUGGAAAAACUCCAAAAGAUGCUGCUUCUGUUCGAGCUACCCAUCCUAUACCUGCAGCCUGUGGCAUAUACUAUUUUGAAGUUAAAAUUGUCAGUAAGGGAAGAGAUGGUUACAUGGGAAUUGGACUUUCGGCACAGGGUGUGAACAUGAACAGACUACCAGGUUGGGAUAAACAUUCGUAUGGUUACCAUGGAGAUGAUGGACAUUCAUUUUGUUCUUCUGGAACUGGACAACCCUACGGUCCAACAUUUACUACGGGUGAUGUCAUUGGUUGUUGUGUCAACCUUAUCAAUAAUACCUGCUUCUACACAAAGAAUGGCCACAGCUUGGGCAUCGCUUUCACAGAUUUACCGCCAAACUUGUAUCCCACAGUAGGGCUUCAAACACCAGGAGAGGUUGUGGAUGCUAAUUUUGGACAACACCCAUUUGUAUUUGACAUUGAAGACUAUAUGAGAGAAUGGAGAACCAAAAUUCAAGCACAGAUUGACAGAUUUCCAAUAGGAGAUCGUGAAGGAGAGUGGCAAACAAUGAUUCAGAAAAUGGUGUCAUCUUACUUAGUUCACCAUGGAUACUGUGCAACAGCAGAGGCAUUCGCCAGAUCCACAGACCAGACUGUGCUAGAAGAAUUAGCUUCCAUUAAAAAUAGACAAAGAAUUCAGAAAUUGGUUUUAGCAGGAAGAAUGGGAGAAGCCAUUGAAACAACACAACAGUUGUAUCCAAGUUUACUAGAAAGAAAUCCUAAUCUCUUAUUUGCAUUAAAGGUGCGCCAGUUUAUAGAGAUGGUGAAUGGUACAGACAGCGAAGUGCGGUGUUUGGGAGGCCACAGUCCAAAAUCUCAAGACAGUUACCCUGUUAGCCCACGCUCAUUCAGUAGCCCUAGCAUGAGUCCCAGCCAUGGAAUGAAUAUUCACAAUUUGGCAACAGGCAAAGGGAGCAGCGCACACUUUUCUGGGUUUGAAAGUAGUUGCAGUAAUGGAGUAAUAUCAAAUAAAGCACAUCAGUCUUAUUGUCACAAUAAACACACGACCACCAGCUUGAAUGUACCAGAGCUCAACAACAUAAAUGUAUCAAGAUCACAGCAGGUUAACAGCUAUUCCAGCAAUGAUGUAGACAUGGAAACAGAUCACUACUCCAAUGGGGUUGCUGAGACUUCAUCCAAUGGCUUCCUAAAUGGUAGUUCUAAACAUGAUCACGAAAUGGAAGAAUGUGACACAGAAAUGGGUCUGCAGUGAUAUUUCUUACAUUUUUAUUAAGUGAUGGCAACAAGAAGUAGAUUCAAGCCAGUUAAGACGUCAGCUGUGUGGUGGCAGCCAAGCGGCUAUUGAAAGAAUGAUCCAUUUCGGAAGAGAAUUGCAAGCAAUGAGUGAGCAACUAAGAAGAGAAUGUGGCAAAAACACAGCAAAUAAGAAAAUGCUGAAGGAUGCAUUCAGUUUACUUGCAUAUUCCGAUCCCUGGAGCAGCCCUGUCGGAAACCAGCUUGACCCGAUACAAAGAGAACCUGUGUGCUCUGUACUGAAUAGUGCAAUACUAGAGACUCACAAUCUGCCAAAGCAACCACCACUCGCCCUAGCGAUGGGACAAGCAUCACAGUGUCUAGGAUUGAUGGCUCGAUCAGGAAUCGGAUCCUGCGCGUUCGCCACAGUGGAAGACUACCUACACUAGCUAUGCAUUUGAAGAUCUGAAAGGUGGUGUGGCAUAUUCAACAUGGAAAGUAGUCCAGCUCUGCUGACUGGAAUUUGGAAUUUUAAUUAUGUACUAAGGACAAGUCUGUCGCUUUAUGUUGCUUCCUAGUUUACAGCAUGAUGCAAAUGAUUUCUAACUUAGUGUUAGGAGAAAAUUUCCAUCUUCAGACCUCUUAGACAGCUAAGAGUUGAAAAUAUCACUGAUAAUGUCAGACAUCCAAACUGACAAGAACCAAUCCUUUGAACGAUUGUCCAAAACAAACCAAAAAUCCUGCUACCUUGUGGUGGGACGGACUAGAAAACCUGGAUCUAUUUAGCAUGUGGGUGACGUCAAUGUCAAAGCAGGAUGACUUGCCAACCUCCACCCCCAUUGUUACAUAGUUCAAUCAGUGUAAUUUGCAAAAUGCAUAAACACCUGAUGGUUUGGAUAUAUAGUGUUGAUGGGAAGAAAUGAUAUUUUUUAAUGUGUACUGUAAAACUUGAAUUACUCAGGAGCUGAGUGAAUAUGUUUGUUGCUACUUACAAUCCCAACCUGUUGAUCUUAGUAGUUUUUUGUUUUAACAUGGUCUUUUCAACUUUGUUUCCUUGUUUAACUACAGACAGCUUCUGUUGUGUAGACUCACCAGUUUAACUGUUGUAUUAUAACAGUAUUACAUGUCAACACAGUGUGGUUAUGACCUAUUUAUAUAAAAACCAAAUAUUUAGUCAAUUUACAGUCUUAAUUUAAUCUUUGUACACCUUGCAUUUUUAAAAGUGCUUCAAAUAGUACUAUAUUGCAAUAAAAUGUAGUGAUAUCAUAAUUAACCAGCCAUUAAAAACUUACUUCUACAUA